GUUGGAGAGUAAUUGUUUUUUGUCAGAUGUUGGGCCAUCUACAUCAAAGAUAUCCAUGUCAGUUUCAUUGGGUUCAAUAAAUUCUCAAAGGAAGAGGGCUAAAUCUCAUUCAAACUGUAGANNNNNNNNNNNCUGAUGGAUACUGUGGAUGAAGCAUUUGAGAAGAGUGAUAACCAGAAUGGAACUACAUUGCAUACACAGUUAAAGAAGGGCUCAUUAUCAAUGUCUAAAGCGAG
rnacentral:misc_RNA from 1 species